UGCAGCCUCCUCCCGGCACGGGACUCCUCACAACCCCCAGCCUCAGCUUCCCUGACAGGGCAGGGGCUCACUCUUCUCCACUCCGGGCCAGGAACGCAGCCUGCUUGCCUUUUGUCCAAUUGGGUGCUCUUUCUUUGCGACUGAUACAAAGUGGGAACAAACUCCGCUUCCGGUGAUGCCCGGGCCCCAGGAGGCUGGGGGAGAAGUGCACGCUGCCCAGCCUUCAACCUGAACUGCCCCCAGCACUUCCGAGCCCCGACCCCUGCAGCUGUGAGAAAACACACCCCUGGUGGAGAUUUAAGAUGCUAAUGACACAUGCGACGUAUGAGCAAGCAGGUGCAGCUACUGCACGUGUGCACCCAGAGGACCCCCCCAGAACAUGCUUCCUAGCAACACCUCUGCCCACCCGCUGAUUCUCUCGGCACCACGGGAACCACCUUCUCUACUCUCACUGAACACCCCUGGGAUGUAUCUGUAAAAAUUGGAACACCUUUCGGCUAGAAAUGGAAUCAUGAUAUGUUGCCUGGCUGGUCUUGAACUCCUGAGCUCAAGUGAUCCUCCCACCUCAGCCUCUCAAAGUACUGGGAUUACAGUCAUGAGCCACUGUGUCUGGCACAAGCAAAUAUUAAAACAAUGAAAGUACAAUGGAAUAGAGGUAGGUAAAUGAAGUUAUGCUGUGUAAUGUUCUGAAUUGUUCAUGAGUGUGGGCGGCAAGCCACCCAGGUGCCGAGGCAAGAGACCAAGGGCACAAGCUGUUCCAGUAUAAUAAAGAAAAUAUAUAGAAUAAGAAU
rnacentral:lncRNA from 10 species